rnacentral:lncRNA from 1 species
AGGCAACAAUCUCAGCGCCUGGGAGUCAGGGCUGCGCACUCCACUCUGGCCAGAACACAAACGGCAUUGGCACUUCUCACUCUCUCAUCCAGGCUGGAGUACGGUGGUGCAAUCUCGGCUCACUGCAGCCUCCGCCUCCCAGGUUCAAAUGAUUCCGAUGCCUCAGCCUCCUGAGUAGCUGGAUUACAGAAUCCCCACUGGGAUGUGGCAGAUGAGCAGAUAAACCUGCACGUGAUCUGGUCAACCACAGUUACCUUUUCAGAAGGCUGACUAUGGAAAUCCAGAUGGAGUCUCGCUCUGUCACCAGACUGGAAUGCAGUGGCAUAGUCUCGGCUCACUGCAACUUCUGCCUCCCUGGUUCAAGCAAUUCUCCUGCCUCCCUGGUUCAAGCGAUUCUCCUGCCUCAGUCUCCCAAGUAGCUGGAAUUACAGGCGCCCACCACCACACCUGACUACUUUUUGUAUUUUUAGUAGAGAUGGGGUUUCACCAUGUUGGCCAGGCUGGUUUCAAACUCCUGACCUCAGGUGAUAUGCCUGCCUCGGCCUCCCAAAAGUCUGGGAUUACAGGCAUGAGCCACCGCGCCCGGCCUGAAUAUGUUUCCUUGUUUAUGGUCUUCGUUCUGCUGCUAGAUAACCUCCACACAGGAAGUUCAAGCAACGGGUGAUGCAAUGUAUAAUACAUAUCUAUAUAUAGAGUGCAAGAAUAGUCACUAAAUCAUCCAUAGAGGUUAAUCUCUAGAUGAGAGAUGUUGUGUGGUAUCUGUUUUUUUGUUUUCUUUUCUUUUGUUUUUGAGACAGAGUUUCACUCUUGUUGCCCAGGCUGGAGUGCAAUGGCACGAUUUCAGCUCACCACAACUUCCACCUCUCGGGUUCAAGCAAUUCUCCUGCCUCAGCCUUCCCGAGUAGCUGGGAUUACAGGCAUGCGCCACCAUGCCAGGCUAAUUUUGUAUUUUCAGUAGAGGUGGGGUUUCUCCACGUUGGUCAGGCUGGUCUUGAACUCCCGACCUCAGGUGAUCUGCCUGCCUCAGCCUCCCAAAGUGCUGGGAUUAUAGGUGUGAGCCACCACGCCCGACCUUCCUUUUUUUUUUUUUUUUGAGACUGAGUCUCACCCUAUUGCCCAGGCUGGAGUGUGGUGGCGUGGUCUCAGCUCACUGCAAUCUCCACCUCCUGGGUUCAAGUGAUUCUCAUGCCUCAGCCUCCCGAGUACCUGCGAUUACAAGUGCCUGCCACCACACCUAAUUUUUGUAUUUUUUGUAGAGAUAGGGUUUCACCAUGUUGGCCAGGCUGGUCUGGAACUCCUGACCUCAAAUGAUCCGCCUGCCUUGGCCUCCCAAAGUUCUGGGAUUACAGGCAUGACCCACCGUACCCAGCCUGUUUUCUUUUUUAUGCCUUUAUGUGUCUUCUGAAAAUUUUAUAAUAAAUAUGUAAUACUUCUAAACUCAGAAAGCAAUAAAACCAUCUCUGUCAUGAAAAACAAAAUUUUACCUAAUUUUGUUUGAUCUAAGCUUGUAUUAAAAAGAAUUUGUUUUCUUCAAUUUGAUAUUUGGGGUUAGUGGUAGAUGUGUUUUCUGUAUGACUGAAGAAUCCAGCCCAAGGUUUACAUCUGCCCUGGAAAAUGCUCAAACUGCUCUCACUGAAUGGUAAUUGUGUGGGUUUUCACACAAGAGAGAUAACACACGCAGGUAUGCACACACACACACACACACACACACACACACACACA